GACGAACCGUACGAACGUUAUUCGGAAUCACUGGGCUUAAAGGGUGCGUAGGCUGCGCAGAAAGUUGGGUGUGAAAUCCCUCGGCUUAACCGAGGAACUGCGCCCAAAACUACUGUGCUCGAGGGAGACAGGAGGUGAGCGGAACUUAGGGUGGAGCGGUGAAAUGCGUUGAUAUCCUAAGGAACACCGGGUGGCGAAAGCGGCCUCACUGGGUCUCUUCUGACGCUGAGGCACGAAAGCUAGGGGAG
rnacentral:rRNA from 1 species